rnacentral:RNase_P_RNA from 1 species
GGAGUGGGGCGGUCUGUCGCUUGCGCUACUUGCGUAAGAGGAAAGUCCGGGCAACACAGAGCAGCAUGUUUCCUAACGGGAAGCCGACGGUGACGUCGGGGAUAAGUGACAGAAAACGACCGCCGUCACCUCAAACAGGCGACGGUAAGGGUGAAAAGGCGGGGUAAGAGCCCACCGGUCUGCACGGCGACGUGUGGAGCCGCACUUCCCAUGUGUUGCAAGGCCAAAUAUACCGGCAGUUAAGGAUUGCUCGUCCAUUGCCGGGGGGUAGGCUGCUAAAGCCUUCAGGCGACUGUAAGGCGUAGAUAAAUGACAGACACCGUCGUGAGACGGUACAUAACCCGGCUUACAGUCCCACUCCAUCC